rnacentral:rRNA from 1 species
AUUGAACGCUGGCGGCAGGCCUAACACAUGCAAGUCGAGCGAGCGGCGGACGGGUGAGUAAUGCCUGGGAAUUGCCCAGUCGAGGGGGAUAACAGUUGGAAACGCGUGAUAAUACCGCAUCCGACUGGAUUGCCCAGGUGGGAUUAGCUAGUUGGUGAGGUAAUGGCUCACCAAGGCUACGGUCCCUCGCUGGUCUGAGUGGAUGAGCAGCCACACUGUAACUGAGACACGGUCCAGACUCCUACGGGAGGCAGCAGUGGGGAAUAUUGCACAAUGGGGGAAACCCUGAUGCAGCAAGGCCGCGUGUGUGAAGAAGGCCUUCGGUUUGUAAAGCACUUUCAGCGAGGAGGCGUUACUCGCAGAAGAAGCACCGGCUAACUCCGUGCCAGCAGCCGCGGUAAUAC